GUGUGGAUGGAGAGAUAAGGAUCAAGUUCGAAUCAAAUUUGAACUCAGAUAAGAGUCAGAUUUGAAGUUAAAUUCAAAUCCAAUUUGAAAUCAAUUUAAACUAGAUUUUAUCUUAUCCUUUUGGGUGUUGAGGUGGGGUGACAAAAUACCUUUUGGUGUGGAGUUUCUCAUGCAAAUCUAAUAUUAGAAUUGAGAUGACUGGGGCAUGCGC
rnacentral:lncRNA from 1 species